UGUUGAGUCCUCAAUUGUGAGUAUCUUGACAAAUCAUUUACUCCGAAAGAUCUCCCUUUGUUAUAAUAAUAAUACGGAAUAAGUAAUCAUUGGACGUGACCGGUGUGCCUCUCCACCUGAGAAGGAGUCCAUGAUACUAAUCAAGAUGGACACGCAGCUUUGGACUCCGGCUGGACUAAUUAAACUCGUAUGCUUUGCCGUGUAGAGCAUUUCCUUGAACUUCAAAAAAAUACUGUCUACUUUGAAACACUCAUCAUAUGUAGGAAACGUGACGACCAGCCAAUCCAGAUUUCCACUCCGAAGUUGCGUCUUACUAUGUCCUCCACAACUCUCAACAUGACUACAACCAUGAAGCAAAAGUCAAAAAUAUAACAUGAUAUAUCUGUCUCCUUCUUACAGAAUGAACACUUUCCAUCCUCUGGACUCGAUCUCAAUUGAUUUGUAAAAAGUCCAGUCUCUUCAUUAUUCUUGGUGAGAGAACAUCUAAAUAUUAUGUAAUGACUAGUGCGUAUAUUCAUAGAAGACAAAGAGUAUUUAUUAAUGGAUCUUUGCUCGGGAUUUACAAGUCCUUGUUGGACAUUAUACAACCGAGGAUCAAAAACAGAUUUAUUCCUUUCUAUAUCCUUGCUAGAUUGCUUUUUUACAAGAAAAUUCAAUAUAUGAAA
rnacentral:lncRNA from 1 species